UCACCGUGUUAGCCAGGACGGUCUUGAUCUCCUGACCUCGUGAUCCGCCCGCCUUGGCCUCCCAAGGUGCUGGGAUCACAGGCGUGAGCCACCACGCCCAGCCAAAAAGUUGUUUUAAAAUUUUUUCGAGAGAUAGGAUCUCGCUUAGUUGCCCAGGCUGGUCUUGAACUCCUGGGCUCAAGCAAUCUUCCCACUUUGGACCCCCACAGUGCUGGGAUUACAGGGGUAAGCCACCACACCCAACCUCAAUCUUCUUGUGAUCUGUUAUGUUGACAACCAAGACAGCUACUUAGUGGUUGGUUGAUGGGUGGACAGUGUAUACAGCAUGGACACACUGGACAGAGGCAUGACUCAAUGUUCCAGUAUUUUCAGAUUUCAGGUGACUGCUGUAACUUGAAGCAAGAAAAGUGAAACUACAGAAAAGGGAGGACCACUGGACGGCUGCUUUCAUUCUACGCCCACUUUUUAGAGUGCAUUCCUACAAUAAGCACCCUAAUAAUGUAAACCAGGGGCCAAGGGAUGCACCUUCCACUCUACUUCCUUCC
ensembl:lncRNA novel transcript